rnacentral:tRNA from 1 species
GGCGAGGGUGGCCUGGUUGUUGGGGCAGGUCGUGUUGACGCCGCGGUUGAAGGCCAGGUUGCAGAACUGGUUCUGGCUG